AUUUGACAAAACAUGAAAUAUGUCUGCAUAGUGGAAAUUCUUUCAAAAGGCACCAUAAGUCUCGACAGCUGACGACAAUGCUUAAUGUAAAUCCAGCCUUACUGACGAUUUUUGACUUUUUCUAAAAUGGUUUCUUACAUUUUAUACCUCAUGUAUUAGAUGGGGGGGAUUUUUUUUAUUUUUUGCAGGUAAUGAGUUGAAUGGAAAUAAAAGCAGCAGAGAAAAGUGGGUCAAAAAAAGCCUAAAAGAAAAUUUUAUGUCCUUUGUCCCCCUCCACACACUGAAUGACCAUGGCUUCAGGAGAGGGUUAUUCUGGGAGCUGUCACAUCCCGUUAACGGAUCUUGAACGUGACAAAAUAAGAAAACAAGGCACGCACAACAAAGAAACAAAAACGCAUUAAAACAUCGGGAUCAGUGGCAACAUUAAAAGAGCGAUGGUAGAAUGUAUUUAUAGAAAAUGUAGCCUCCGAUCUUCCUAAGGCACGGUUAGCUGCGCUGUCUUCCCACAACCUCGUCACCCGUUCUACUGAGGCUGGAGAAACACAGGACGGAAAAGCCCUGAGGGCGAACAUUCAGCAAAGAAGAGUUGACAUUUUACACAAGGAUCUGACGCUGGUUUGCAGUGCCAGGCCCUACAGAUGUGUUCUAAAGAUGGACUAUCUGAACUAGAUAAUAACUCAAGAAAAAAAAAAGAAAACACACACACACAGAAAAAAAAAGCCUCAAAAGCAAAACUGUACGCACAAGACGAUAACUCUCCAGUCUCUAUAUUCAAAGCAUAUCUAUGAAAAUAAAAUGCUUUGAAUGUAGCAGCAGAAAAAUAUGUGUCAGGGCUAACUUUCACUUCAAAGAAAAAGGUUUACUUAAAAAAAUAAAUAAAUAAAGGAAGGAAGAAAGGAAGCACUGAGACUCCUUUCUUCCACAAUUUGGAUUAAUUGACUAAAUCUCACAAUAACCUCAUUCAGUUAGGAGCUUUUCUCAUCCAAAUAUUAUUUGGUUUGAAAAGUCCCGAUCGGUGGUGUGGAUAAAAUCUACAGAAUCCACCGUUCCAAGUUACCUUUUUCACAUCGAAUCAGCCCUUUAAUUGUCCCAUCUCGGUUUUGUAUCAAGGCGCUGAAAAGGAGGAACUCGAUUGGACUCUCCGGCGUUAAUU